UGGAGGCCGAUACUCGAGCUGUUAUCAAGUACCUGCAGCUUGACACUGUGUCCUCCUACAGCAACACACCUUCUGAUGACCGCAAGUUGCCAAGCUUUGCUUGUGGACAGAUACGGGGUGGACACUG